rnacentral:rRNA from 1 species
ACGGAAGGCAGCAGUGAGGAAUAUUGGUCAAUGGACGGAAGUCUGAACCAGCCAAGUCGCGUGAAGGAUGAAGGUAUUAUGUAUUGUAAACUUCUUUAGCAGUGGAGUAAUAAGGGGAUCGCGAUCCCUGAUGCAAGUACACUGAGAAUAAGGAUCGGCUAACUCCGUGCCAGCAGCCGCGGUAAUACGGAGGAUCCGAGCGUUAUCCGGAUUUAUUGGGUGUAAAGGGUGCGCAGGCGGCUUUUUAAGUCAGUGGUUAAAUCGUGACGCUCAACGUCAUCACGCCAUUGAUACUGGAGAGCUUGAUUGCGGUCGAGGUUUGCGGAAUUCGUUGUGUAGCGGUGAAAUGCAUAGAUAUGACGAAGAACACCGAUUGCGUAGGCAGCAGACCAGGCCGUAAAUGACGCUCAUGCACGAAAGUGCGGGGAUCGAACAGGAUUAGAUACCCUGGUA